rnacentral:rRNA from 1 species
UUUGGAAGUAAAAGUCGUAACAAGGUCUCCGUUGGUGAACCAGCGGAGGGAUCAUUACCGAGUUUACAACUCCCAAACCCAAUGUGAACGUUACCAAACUGUUGCCUCGGCGGGAUCUCUGCCCCGGGUGCGUCGCAGCCCCGGACCAAGGCGCCCGCCGGAGGACCAACCAAAACUCUUAUUGUAUACCCCCUCGCGGGUUUUUUUAUAAUCUGAGCCUUCUCGGCGCCUCUCGUAGGCGUUUCGAAAAUGAAUCAAAACUUUCAACAACGGAUCUCUUGGUUCUGGCAUCGAUGAAGAACGCAGCGAAAUGCGAUAAGUAAUGUGAAUUGCAGAAUUCAGUGAAUCAUCGAAUCUUUGAACGCACAUUGCGCCCGCCAGUAUUCUGGCGGGCAUGCCUGUCCGAGCGUCAUUUCAACCCUCGAACCCCUCCGGGGGGUCGGCGUUGGGGAUCGGCCCUGCCUUGGCGGUGGCCGUCUCCGAAAUACAGUGGCGCUCUGGCCGCAGCCUCUCAUGCGCAGUAGUUUGCACACUCGCAUUAAGGGCGAGGCGCGUCCACAGCCGUUAAACACCCAACUUCAGGAAUGUGCGUGCGCGGCAGAGGGAAACCCGUCCCCCCAUU